UGCUUACCAUGCAGUCGAACGGUGAUGGGGAGCUUGCUCCUUGGAUCAGUGGCGAACGGGUGAGUAACACGUGAGCAAUCUGCCCUUGACUCUGGGAUAACUGCGGGAAACUGUAGCUAAUACCGGAUAUUACCUUGGAAGGCAUCUUCUGAGGUGGAAAGAAUUUUGGUCAAGGAUGAGCUCGCGGCCUAUCAGCUAGUUGGUGAGGUAAUGGCUCACCAAGGCGACGACGGGUAGCCGGCCUGAGAGGGUGACCGGCCACACUGGGACUGAGACACGGCCCAGACUCCUACGGGAGGCAGCAGUGGGGAAUAUUGCACAAUGGGCGCAAGCCUGAUGCAGCAACGCCGCGUGAGGGACGACGGCCUUCGGGUUGUAACCUCUUUUAGUAGGGAAGAGCGACUGGGUUUUCCUGGGAGUGACGGUACCUGCAGAAAAAGCACCGGCUACUACGUGCAGCAGCCGCGGUAAUACGUAGGUGCAAGCGUUGUCAGAUUAUUGGGCGUAAAGAGCUCGUAGCGGUUGUCGCGUCUGCUGUGAAACCCGAGGCUCACCUCGGCCUGCAGUGGUACGGCAGACUAGAGUGCGUA
rnacentral:rRNA from 1 species